GUGAGGAAUUUUCCGCAAUGGGCGAAAGCCUGACGGAGCAAUGCCGCGUGAAGGAUGAAGGCCUAUGGGUUGUAAACUUCUUUUCUCAGAAAAGAAUUAUGACGGUAUCUGAGGAAUAAGCAUCGGCUAACUCUGUGCCAGCAGCCGCGGUAAGACAGAGGAUGCAAGCGUUAUCCGGAAUGAUUGGACGUAAAGCGUCUGUAGGUUGUUUAAAAAGUAUUCUGUCAAAGAUUAGGGCUUAACCCUAGAUAGGCAGAAUAAACUUUUAAGCUAGAGUUUGGUAGAGGCAGAGGGAAUUCCCGGUGGAGCGGUGAAAUGCGUAGAUAUCGGGAGGAACACCAAAGGCGAAGGCACUCUGCUGGGCCAAUACUAACACUGAGAGACGAAAGCGAGGGGAGCAAAUGGGAUUAGAUACCCGGGUAGUCC
rnacentral:rRNA from 1 species